rnacentral:lncRNA from 1 species
UGCUGUCAAGAGUAGCUUGUAAAGGGUAUGGGUAUAAAUAUCCCUCUGACCUGAGACUACCACGGUGACUUGUAAGCAACUCACUGUACUUUAAUAUUAGACUAUCUGAGUUUCUAACUUAGUGACAGAAAGAUACUAGAUACAGUUAAGUACUUAUCAAGUCGGUGUGUGAGUCAAGAUGGAAUUGACCCUUCUGAAUUGGUAGGAGAUAUGUAUCAAUAUAUUUCAAUUUAGCAAAAUCUUGGCUAGGAUAAUUCAUGAGAUGGAUUUGAAAAAUUAAAAUAUAAUAUGGUUGACUUAAUUAAGGUUGACAGUUAAUCCUAAGUUACUUUGAGCAUCUGGGUCAAAGAGAUAAAUUAUACGAUAACCAUAUGCCAGUAGGUUCUAGAAGGUUGCUUUGCAACACUUCGACCCAUCCGAUCGUCGGAUCAUCAUUGCUAGAUGGUUACAUUAAUUAGUAUAGAAAGUUAUUCCUAUACUACCAACUUAGAUUUGAACCUAUGGGGUCAUAUGCAUUAUCAGAUUUGGUCAAAUCUGAUGGCUGAAGAGUUUAAUUGAAUUGUGACUCU